CUGAUACAGGGAGGUAGUGACAAUAAAUAACAAUACCGGGCCUUUGGUCUGGUAAUUGGAAUGAGUACAACCUAAACACCUUAACGAGGAUCAAUUGGAGGGCAAGUCUGGUGCCAGCAGCCGCGGUAAUUCCAGCUCCAAUAGCGUAUAUUUAAGUUGCUGCAGUUAAAAAGCUCGUAGUUGGAUUUCGGGUGGGAAUGGCCGGUCCGCCGUUUCGGUGUGCACUUGCUACGCCCGCCUUGCUGCCGGGGACGUGCUCUUGAGUUCACGCUCGGGACACGGAGUCGGCGAGGUUACUUUGAGUAAAUUAGAGUGUUCAAAG
rnacentral:rRNA from 1 species